rnacentral:lncRNA from 1 species
CAAUUCCCUUGGAUCUGAUGCCCUCUUCUGGAAUAAAGGUGUGCAUGCACAUUGGUAUACAUUAAAUAAAUAGACAGGUAUACAAAUAAAUAGGCAGAUAGACAAAUAAGACAGAAAAAUAGACGAACAAAAUAAAUAAAUGGACAGACAAACAAACAGACAGUAGGACAAAUGAACAAGCAAACAAAAUAAAUAAAUAAAUAGAUUGGUGCGGGGCUCAGACCAACCAAAGAUAACCCCCACGCCCAAAAAAGUGGAAAGAUAGCCAAACAAAUAAAUAGACGAACAAAAAAAUAAAUAAAUGGACAAAUAAAUAAAUAAAUGGACGAACGAACAAACAAAAUGAAUGAAUGGACAGACAAAUAAAUAGACGAACAAAAGGAAUGAAUGAAUGAAUAAAUAGAUAGACAGACAGACAGACAGACAGACAGACAGACAAAAAAUGGGUGCCGGAGAAAUGUCUCGAUCCGAUCGUCCAAGGAACCAACAAGAUCUCUCAGGCGUCUGCUGCACUCUGGCGCUCUGCUCCAAAGGGUCCUUCCAUGCUCAUGCCCGGGGCAGGGUGGGGGGACACAAAUGCACAACAGGGCAGGAUACUCACCCCCUCGUCCACUGCACAAACGCUGGCUGUUAUGAUGCAGGAACAUAGUGAACGUGGGCUGGACUCCAGCCGAACCCCUUAGCCAACGAAAGCAGAAGUAUGACAGGAAGCUAUAAAAACAGGGCAUCACUCUCUUAAUAGUCAGGUCAAAGAGCGUCACUGACAUGCAGGUGACUAUGUGGGUCUAGGGGCUGGCACAAUUAGGGGAUGUGAGGGUAGGUUGAAAGACCCUCGGAUAGAGGAGCCUCCACAAAUCGGAGGGUCCCCCCAAAAAACUCAAUAUCCAGUCCAGUUGAUGUAAAAAUAAGAGCUCUAAGGAUUCUUGUAAGUUCCAGGGAGUUGAAUUGGAUCCAAACAUACAGGUCUAAGAGACGCCAGGGAGUCCCAUACAGCCUGGACCACAAUGAAACAACCAUCUACCCCAGGACGUGGCAGCACCCCAAUCUUCUCAGAUCCCCCCAAAGACGAUCAACGCCCCAGGUCAGCAGGAAGCAGCCUUGAGAUUUCUUCGUCCCUACUUCCUAACCUGCCACAUCCAAUUCUCCAACUUUUAUAAUAAACAACAGCCGGGAUUGUAAGAACAAUACACCUGGAUGACCCCGCCCCCCUAACAACAAGCAGGGCACACACAGGAAAACUUGCUACGUCAUCACCACAUCACCCGCCAUGCAUUGCGGCCUUCGUGAGGACUCUGCAUAUGUGCGAAACCUCAGUGUGCAUGCGUAGUCUUUCCCUUAAAAGCAACAACUUCCCUGCUGCUCUCUCUUUUACUCUCUCUCUCUGUUUCUUCUUGGCUCUCUCUCACCUAGGCGCUUUUUCUGCCUCUCUGUGGCAACUGGCCAUGGCGGUCAGCCAUUACCCCUGUUCCUCUUCUCUCUUAGUCUCUCUACUCUGCCGAGCUUAUAAUGAAGGACUUUAGAAUUAACAAAGAAAUAACUAAGAAGAAAAACAAUCCUCUCACCCUAAGAACAGGGAGACCUGACUUAAAACCUAACCAAGGUCACAAUGACCCAAGCCCCUGGAAUUUCUUAGCUGGCAGAUAUAACUCCCUUACAAGGCCACAAGACAACCUAACUGAAUACCAAGAAUUCCUAGAGGGCCACCCUGCCCUAGGGUCAUGAAGAUAGAAACAGACUAUCCCACUGAGCCAGGAGACCAUCCGGCCCCAAAGAUAAGAGAUCUCCAAAGGAUCUGUGACUCUGGUCACGUACCCAAACCCCUAAAAGCCUAUGGUUUUUUCUCCUAUAAAAGGAGCCUGCUUUAGAGGAACAGGGCUUCUUCUUUGUCUGUCGGACUGGGAAGCCCGUUUGCGCAAACGUCCCAUAAUAAACUUACCUCUUGUUUUUGCAUCAGCUGGACUGGACAUUGAGUGUUUUGGGGGG